CUGAGACUGUGCCUUCUUGCAGCCAUUAUGGAAUAUUUUAUGUAGCUUAUUCAUGUAUAUCAUUUCACGAUUAUGUAAAUUUCAGUCGCUAGGUAUUAGGUACUGUAUACUCUUUCAUCUGUACUCCCUGCUCCUGGUGGUUAAUGUCUGUGAUUUUUGGAAAGAAAGAGAAAGCAGAAUCACAGUUCGCACCCCUUUAAGCUUCAUUUUUUUUUUUGUAUUUGUGAAUUUUUAUUCAGCCCCUGUUUUACAUUUCUUGGCUAAUUUUUUUCAUUAAACUUAAGUAAUAAAAUUGGAUGGCAGGGACAGGAAAACUAGAAGUAUACAGUCUAAAAAAUACUGUCUUCUUUAGGUAAUUUUUUUCUUCAAAUUGUGGUAAAAGUCUUCAUAAAUACAUGCUAUGUUUUAGGUGAAAGUUACACAAGAACUGAGAAACAUUCAAGGUGAGCAGAUGACAAAACUUCAAGCCAAACAUCAAGCAGAAUGCGAUUUACUUGAAGAUAUGAGGUAAGAUUACCGUAAAGAGUUGGAGAACUUCUGUAUCUGCUGCCCAGAACCUUCCAGUUGCCAAGCCCUAGGAUCUGAUGAUGGAAUUUCCUUUUGGAUUUCCUGCUUUCAGGCUGUAGAAUUUUGACUCAGCUGGAAAUUAGACCGGGAACUACACAGUUUNAAUUCUGUGUACACACACUUUUGAAAA
rnacentral:lncRNA from 1 species